GCAGGUGUAGUACAACGGUUAGUAUAUGGCCUUGCCAAGGCUAAGAUGCCGGUUCGAUUCCGGUCACUUGCUCCA
rnacentral:tRNA from 1 species